rnacentral:rRNA from 1 species
GGGGGGGGGGGGGGGGGGGGGGGGGGGGGGGGGGGCGGGGGGAGGGGGGCGGCGUGUGUGGGGGGCUCGAGGGGCGAACGGGUGAGUAACAGGUGAGUAACCUGCCCUUGACUUUGGGAUAACUUCAGGAAACUGGGGCUAAUACCGGAUAGGAGCUCCUGCUGCAUGGUGGGGGUUGGAAAGUUUCGGCGGUUGGGGAUGGACUCGCGGCUUAUCAGCUUGUUGGUGGGGUAGUGGCUUACCAAGGCUUUGACGGGUAGCCGGCCUGAGAGGGUGACCGGCCACAUUGGGACUGAGAUACGGCCCAGACUCCUACGGGAGGCAGCAGUGGGGAAUAUUGCACAAUGGGCGGAAGCCUGAUGCAGCAACGCCGCGUGCGGGAUGACGGCCUUCAGGUUGUAAACCGCUUUCGCCUGUGACGAAGCGUGAGUGACGGUAAUGGGUAAAGAAGCACCGGCUAACUACGUG